rnacentral:rRNA from 1 species
GGGGAAUUUUGGACAAUGGGGGCAACCCUGAUCCAGCCAUGCCGCGUGAGUGAAGAAGGCCUUCGGGUUGUAAAGCUCUUUCGGCGGGGAAGAAAUGGCAACGGCUAAUAUCCGUUGUUGAUGACGGUACCCGCAUAAGAAGCACCGGCUAACUACGUGCCAGCAGCCGCGGUAAUACGUAGGGUGCGAGCGUUAAUCGGAAUUACUGGGCGUAAAGCGUGCGCAGGCGGUUUCGUAAGACAGACGUGAAAUCCCCGGGCUCAACCUGGGAACUGCGUUUGUGACUGCGAGGCUAGAGUACGGCAGAGGGGGGUUAGAAUUCCACGUGUAGCAGUGAAAUGCGUAGAGAUGUGGAGGAAUACCGAUGGCGAAGGCAGCCCCCUGGGUUAGUACUGACGCU